UACAGAGGGUGCAAGCGUUAAUCGGAAUUACUGGGCGUAAAGCGCGCGUAGGCGGCUAGGUAAGAUGGGUGUGAAAUCCCCGGGUUCAACCUGGGAACUGCAUCCAUAACUGCCUGGCUAGAGUACAGUAGAGGGUGGUGGAAUUUCCUGUGUAGCGGUGAAAUGCGUAGAUAUAGGAAGGAACACCAGUGGCGAAGGCGACCACCUGGACUGAUACUGACGCUGAGGUGCGAAAGCGUGGGGAGCAAAC
rnacentral:rRNA from 1 species